UGGGGAAUUUUGGACAAUGGGCGAAAGCCUGAUCCAGCAAUGCCGCGUGUGUGAAGAAGGCCUUCGGGUUGUAAAGCACUUUUGUCCGGAAAGAAAUCCUUGGCUCUAAUACAGUCGGGGGAUGACGGUACCGGAAGAAUAAGCACCGGCUAACUACGUGCCAGCAGCCGCGGUAAUACGUAGGGUGCAAGCGUUAAUCGGAAUUACUGGGCGUAAAGCGUGCGCAGGCGGUUUGCUAAGACCGAUGUGAAAUCCCCGGGCUCAACCUGGGAACUGCAUUGGUGACUGGCAGGCUAGAGUAUGGCAGAGGGGGGUAGAAUUCCACGUGUAGCAGUGAAAUGCGUAGAGAUGUGGAGGAAUACCGAUGGCGAAGGCAGCCCCCUGGGCCAAUACUGACGCUCAUGCACGAAAGCGUGGGGAGCAAACAGGAUUAGAUACCCUGGUAGUCCACGCCCUAAAA
rnacentral:rRNA from 1 species